rnacentral:rRNA from 1 species
UACGAAGGGGGCUAGCGCUGCUCGGAAUCACUGGGCGUAAAGGGUGCGUAGGCGGGUUAUUAAGUCAGAGGUGAAAUCCUGGAGCUCAACUCCAGAACUGCCUUUGAUACUGAUAGUCUUGAGUAUGGGAGAGGUGAGUGGAACUGCGAGUGUAGAGGUGAAAUUCGUAGAUAUUCGCAAGAACACCAGUGGCGAAGGCGGCUCACUGGCCCAUUACUGACGCUGAGGCACGAAAGCGUGGGGAGCAAACAGG